rnacentral:lncRNA from 1 species
UAUCAGGCUUGAGAAUAACUAAAAAACAAUACUGCUAAAUGUUGGCUUUAAAUUACCAUUUGUCUGCCUAAAUCAUGAUGAAUAUGGUGAUUAGAAAUGGCAUUAUCGAUUAUUAAAUGUCAGAAUGAAUACACUAAUGAAGUUAUCUUUUCUUUCUUCCAGUAUCUCUAAAGGCUUACUAAAGUUGUCUUCAAGUUCUUUAAGGCUUUUUAAAGUUGCAUUUAACUCCUAAAUCCAUCUGAAAUAUAUUUUAGUAUAUAGUGUCAAAAAUAUAUUUAAUAAAUGGUAAUUACAUUAUUAAGUAAUUAGAAAAAA